rnacentral:rRNA from 1 species
GAUGAACGCUGGCGGCGUGCCUAAUACAUGCAAGUCGAGCGAACAGAUGGGGAGCUUGCUCCUCUGACGUUAGCGGCGGACGGGUGAGUAACACGUGGAUAACCUACCUAUAAGACUGGGAUAACUUCGGGAAACCGGAGCUAAUACCGGAUAAUAUAUUGAACCGCAUGGUUCAAUAGUGAAAGACGGUUUUGCUGUCACUUAUAGAUGGAUCCGCGCCGCAUUAGCUAGUUGGUAAGGUAAUGGCUUACCAAGGCAACGAUGCGUAGCCGACCUGAGAGGGUGAUCGGCCACACUGGAACUGAGACACGGUCCAGACUCCUACGGGAGGCAGCAGUAGGGAAUCUUCCGCAAUGGGCGAAAGCCUGACGGAGCAACGCCGCGUGAGUGAUGAAGGUCUUCGGAUCGUAAAACUCUGUUAUUAGGGAAGAACAAAUGUGUAAGUAACUAUGCACGUCUUGACGGUACCUAAUCAGAAAGCCACGGCUAACUACGUG